UGCAAUAAUAUCAUAAGCCUACGCUAUGAAGUUCAUUGGCAUUAAAAGGAGAGGAGAAGUAUUCAGUAUUAUUCAUGCGAUCCCAUGCAAACACCUGCAAUGUUAUCGACCAAAUCAACAAACAAGGGAAAAGGACUAGACCUGAGUGAUUUCAGCAUCUCAACAUCUUUCCAUCUGGGUGGCUAACUCUCAAGCACUCUGUUCCUACUAAAAGCAAAACGCUGUGUUCAGGGACCUCUUGUUCCUUCCCCAACAUACGGGAUUGGGAUUCCUCAAACAGGAGCUGAAGAAAGGGGCCCAUCAAUGCCAGAGUACUCCGUGGAAAGCCAGCAGGAAGCACCGAGGAAAUGGAUUACGGAGCCGCUUGAGCACUUUUGACAAAUGCAGUUCCAUGCCGCUCUCCUAGUUUUUUGACCCUUAAAUAUUGCCUUCUUACAAAGAAGAACUACAAUCUAAUUCCAAGGAAUCCAGCUCUUCCUAAAGAAAGACAUCAACCGUAUUGAUAGCUGUUGUAUGACUGAAUCCUUUACAAGGUUCAGACAUGACUUCACCCAGGGCAGACUAAAUGUACCAGUGACGAAUGCUUCAUCAAGCAACCUCACUAGCAGGCCUCUGCUUGCUCUGCAAUGA
rnacentral:lncRNA from 1 species